GUUGUGUACCAAUACUCGGUAUGCCAAAAAGACUCCAUAUUGUACCGUACCGACAUAGUGCUAGCGUGGCACUAGUAUGGGAUCCUGUACUGAGAAAACGAACCUUGGUUACGUGUGAGCAUACAUAUUUAUUCGAUGAUUUGUAUGCAAACCCUUGGCUGUUGAAAAGCCAAAGCUACCACCAUGUUGUAAAUUGUGUUAGUCCAAACUAAGCCCUGUCUUUGCUUAUGCUCCCCCAUUGAUAGUUGGAUAAUUCUCUAGCUUUUCUCAACCCGGGAGCCUCCAUAACAUCAGGUUGACUCUCCUCAUCUAAUUGGAGAUCCUAUGCUGCUGCUCAAUUGUUCCUUAUAUUGCUGCCCCUGUUAUGGGUCCAUUGAGCAUUGUAUUAUCCAUCUAUCAACAUCAUCUGCAGCUACUUCAUCUUCUCUCUUCUUAUAUAUUGGAUAGAUGCUUCAUCUAUUCUUUGACUUUCUUUAAUACUCUAUCACACUUGGUUACUUCUAAAUAACCCUUGCAAGGUGCUUUCUCAAUCUAUCGUUCCCACU
rnacentral:lncRNA from 1 species